GCCAAUGAGAGCCCACCAGAGCUUCUCCCCUCCGGGGGUCUGGGUGCUCCUUUUCCCCCCUCUGAUCCUACCAUCCAGUAGAUCAUCCAAAUACAACUCCCUUUUCAUCUUAAGCUACUUUGAAGAAGGUUUUAUAUUUUAAAACCAAAAGAAACUUGAUGAAGAACCAUCAAAAAAGCAUCUAUUUCAACUGAUAAGCUUUAAGUCAAAAAGGGUCUAGGGGAAUCAGACAGAAAGAAUGAUCAAGACAACCACAGCAAGCCGGGAAACCUUCCAGAUGGGACGUCCAGGCUGAGACCUUGAGAGUCAACAAAUUAAAAGUAUUCAUGAGGGAGGACACGCACCUGCAAAGCCCUAGAAAUGGGCAAUAAGAUCACAGAAACUGCAA